ensembl:lncRNA
UGAACAAGAAGAUUUUUGCGUUAAAGAAAGUAACAGAAUGACUGUUCUAUGGUUUCAUUCUUAUGGUAGUGCUCUUGCAUUGAUAUAACUCCAGGGAAUGGGUUUGCAGCAACUUUAAGAAACAGAGUGAACUAUUUGAAAGGGUUGAACCCUUUGAAAAGGGAUCUUUGCAGUUGGUCUAGUCAUUUUUAUUAUAAAACAUGGAGGAAUAACAUGCUGGAAGUUGGAUGAACUGAGUCAUAACACCAAAAGAACAUUUUCAAAAGCAAUUGAUCUCACUAACUGCUAUCUCUGAACCACUUGCUUUGCAAGCAAGCUCACUAUGGAGCCCACAGAAGUGUGAACAAAUGGGAUGUCACCAGAGCCACAGAUUCUCAGAAAAUAAUUUCAACCAGAGCCAUGGAAGAAAGAGCUGACCAAUGGCUUGCAGAGCAUCAGGUGCUCUGGGAAGAUGAGGUGAAUAGCUGUGACUGUAAGAAGUUCUCCAUUUCAAGCGUGUUUCAAGAUUGCAAAGUACACAUCCAAAUGUCAUUCAAGCUGUCAGUCCUAAAAGCUGCAAUCUUGCACGUUGCUCACACAACAGCCAUGUCACAGUCCUCUCCUGCAAUUUAAUUUUGAUUUGCAGGACUCAUUUUUUGAACAAAGGUCAUCUAGUGCCUGCUCAUCUCUGGACCUCCCUUGCUAAACCUGACGUAACAUCAAUAAGAAUUGUUGGAUGUGAAGAGGACUGGUUUGCUACAGGGGA